GUUACUGCUAUCGAGGUUCGACUAAGCCAUGCGAGUCGAAUGUAGCAAUACAUGGGCGUACUGCUCAGUAACACGUGGACAACCUACCCUUGGGACGGGGAUAAACCCGGGAAACUGGGUAUAAUACCCGAUAGAUCUCGACUGCUGGAAUGCAUCGAGUUCGAAAGCUCCGGCGCCCAAGGAUGGGUCUGCGGCCUAUCAGGUAGUAGUGGGUGUAGCGUACCUACUAGCCUACGACGGGUACGGGUUGUGAGAGCAAGAGCCCGGAGAUGGAUUCUGAGACACGAAUCCAGGCCCUACGGGGUGCAGCAGGCGCGAAAACUUUACAAUGCUGGAAACAGCGAUAAGGGGACCUCGAGUGCCAGGUUACAAAUCUGGCUGUCGUGAUGCCUAAAAAGCAUUGCAUAGCAAGGGCCGGGCAAGACCGGUGCCAGCCGCCGCGGUAACACCGGCGGCUCGAGUGGUAACCGUUAUUAUAGGGUCUAAAGGGUCUGUAGCCGGCCGGAUAAGUCUCUUGGGAAAUCUGGCAGCUUAACUGUCAGGCUUUCAGGGGAUACUGUCUGGCUCGAGGCCGGGAGAGGUGAGAGGUACUUCAGGGGUAGGGGUGAAAUCUUGUAAUCCUUGAAGGACCACCAGUGGCGAAGGCGUCUCACCAGAACGGACCUGACGGCAAGGGACGAAAGCUAGGGGCACGAACCGGAUUAGAUACCCGGGUAGUCCUAGCCGUAAACGAUACUCGCUAGGUGUCGGCCACGGUGCGACCGUGGUCGGUGCCGUAGGGAAGCCGUGAAGCGAGCCACCUGGGAAAGUACGGCCGCAAGGCUGAAACUUAAAGGAAAUUGGCGGGG
rnacentral:rRNA from 1 species